GAUUAUAACGAGAGUGAGAUGCGUAGGCCGACCGACGCGACUGUGUCCUGCGCACUGCCGCUUCCCUAUCUCUCCCCAUGUUAAAAUGCGCGCACGCGGUUGGCGCUACAGCUAAAUUCAUGAAGCCACCCGCGGACUGAUUGGUGUCAAUCGAACGCGCACGAGUCGUUUUAUCACAUAACUCGGAACCGAGCCUGAAAACAAAAGCGCUUUCGAGAAUUCCACCGCUGAAAUCUGCCCAUUUCGCUGCGAGCUCCGACAGCGACGAUCGCACCCGAGCGCCAGCGGCUGUCGGCGAAGCACGCAUCACCAUGGCAACCAGACAACAAGUGACGUCACCGAGCGAUUUCAUUGGUCCGCCGUGUGUCACAACUGCUUGGGAAAGAAAACAAUAGUGAGAACACCAAAACAUAACAAUCUCUUCUUGCUCUUCUUGUUUUUGUAACCCAUCGUUUCGUGCCUUGUGUUGAAGCAGGCGCCGGUGGGCCGGUGCCGCCGACACCAGCGGCGAUGCAGGCGGCCGCCGUGGCCCGCGCAAGCAUUCAAGCAGUGCAAGAAGAACCACUUCUCCACCUCCGAGUCGACCGACGACGAGAUGCCCGAGCUCGAAAGAGGUUGAACCUAAGGAAGCUGCAGCUGCUUGAUAAAGUUUCUCCACCUCGAUGAUCCACUCGAACGAUGAGACGGAGAUAAAAAGCAAUAGGCCCUCAGUAAACUGCCUGCUUUUAGUGUUCUGGCAGGCUUCAUUGAAUUUCUCCAUGUUCUUGUGACUGAAGGCCACACCACCUCUGGACAUGAGGAGCUGCCACCACCUGUCGAUUUUUCUGCAGAACCAGGCGGUGGACCAGUGUGAAGAGGCAGAGUACUCUCUCCGGUUGUACAGUUCAGUGACUUGUCGUACUGCCUUCCCAUGGUUAGGCUCAUCUCAUCGUACAUCAAAAUCAUCACUUUGUCAGCAGAGGUCUCAUGCCCCAUGCGAUUUUUCAGAACAGUGAUGGCGCCAGAUUCUACACCAGGAGGAAGGGUGAAAUCUUUUGUCCGCUCCUGGAUUGUCUUAAUCGCUGGUGUAGGAUGGCCACAAUCAUAGUAGUGCUGAUAUCCUGAUGUUCCGAAAAUAAACUUUUUCUCUAGACCUUCGAGUAUUGCUGAGUCAGACCAGGCACUGACAGCUGCCCUUCCACCACUUUUAUUCUGCUUUUCUGUAAGACAUCAAUGUUCAUUAUUGUUUCUUAAAUUGCGGAAAAUGGGCUCACUCAGCAAAUCCAGUUGUUCCUUUGAGUAAAUUUUGCUCAAGUUUUUUUCGAGAACAGCUGCAGCCGUGCUGCUCUCCUUGAGUUCCUUGACUUGAUUUUCCAAGGCUUGGCACUUGGCCAGGAGCUCCCAUCGCUCUCUGGUGUCCUUCGAAUCUCCUUCGGCAAGCCAAUUAAUGACCUCUAUUUUGUUGUAAAUUCCUUCUUGGGGAUUCAGCUUACUUUCCAUUCUUUCUUUUGGGGGUUCAUUGAUUAUUCCUUAUUUUAAUGUGAAAUUACUCAAUAUAUCUUUGAUACAGAUUUAAUCUAU